UAUAGAUUUUUAACAACGCAUGAGUUGUUGUGGUCUGCAGCCACCGCGGAACCGGAUGACAUUAGGAUGUCGCUCGGACACAGUCACAUGGUGUUUGGAUGGUCAGUCGUGAAAGCCACAUGAGUGUGCACAGAGCACAGGUGCAGACGCGUUAACCAGACAUCCGCUGUCAGUGUGUGACCACAGCUUCAGCACCGGGGAUCCCCAUCUCAGCAUGCCUCACAAGAGCAAAAAAGAAAAGGAAACCAAAUCUGCAAGAUCUAAAAAAUCUGGAUGUAAAAAUGGGCCUGCAGAAGACCAAGAUGGCUCCAAUAAGAAAGUGCCUCCCGCAACUCAGGUGAUGAGGGUGAAGCAGCCAGGGUCACACUCGGCCUUGAAGAGGGAGAAGAGGUUCAGCACUUCCUCUUUCCCCCUCAGUGCUAACAGAGA